rnacentral:rRNA from 1 species
UACGAAGGGGGCUAGCGUUGUUCGGAUUUACUGGGCGUAAAGCGCAUGUAGGCGGGCCGAUAAGUUGGGGGUGAAAUCCCGGAGCUCAACUCCGGAACUGCCUCCAAAACUGUCGGCCUGGAGCAGAUGAGAGGCGAGUGGAAUUCCGAGUGUAGAGGUGAAAUUCGUAGAUAUUCGGAGGAACACCAGUGGCGAAGGCGACUCGCUGGCAUCUUGCUGACGCUGAGAUGCGAAAGCGUGGGGAGCAAACAGG